GGGGAUUUAGCUCAGUGGUAGAGCGCUUGCCUAGCAAGCACAAGGCCCUGGGUUCGAUCCCCAGCCCCG
rfam:Rattus norvegicus chromosome 3, whole genome shotgun sequence.